rnacentral:rRNA from 1 species
GACGAACGCUGGCGGCGUGCUUAACACAUGCAAGUCGAACGGAAAGGCCCUGCUUUUGUGGGGUGCUCGAGUGGCGAACGGGUGAGUAACACGUGAGUAACCUGCCCUUGACUUUGGGAUAACUUCAGGAAACUGGGGCUAAUACCGGAUAGGAGCUCCUGCUGCAUGGUGGGGGUUGGAAAGUUUCGGCGGUUGGGGAUGGACUCGCGGCUUAUCAGCUUGUUGGUGGGGUAGUGGCUUACCAAGGCUUUGACGGGUAGCCGGCCUGAGGGGGUGACCGGCCACAUUGGGACUGAGAUACGGCCCAGACUCCUACGGGAGGCAGCAGUGGGGAAUAUUGCACAAUGGGCGGAAGCCUGAUGCAGCAACGCCGCGUGCGGGAUGACGGUCUUCGGGUUGUAAACCGCUUUCGCCUGUGACGAAGCGUGAGUGACGGUAAUGGGUAAAGAAGCACCGGCUAACUACGUG